UUUUGAAUUAUUGUGAUAUACAUUAUUAGAUUUAAAAAAAUAUGGCAACAUAUAGCAAGAGUGUGUUAGAUGCCCUAACAGAAAAUCCUGCCCAGCUUUUUGUUGAUUUUUUGAGAUUUCUCGAAUCUACACAGCCCAUCACUGUUCCUUCUACAUCUGCUAUAAGGGUUACAUCUUCAGCACCUACUAUAACUAUUCCAUGUGUUCAACCUUCUGCUGGUAAAUUUAUGAUUUAAAAAUGUUUUUAAAUGAUUUUUUAAUUUAUGUUUAUACUUAUAAACACUAUUUAAUGCAUUAGUAUUGUGUUAUCCCUCAAAGUGCAGUAAAAUAAAAUUAUUACUCUCAUGAACAUUUUUUACGCUAUCAUUGAUUAAUACGUUGUUCAUGUUAUUUAUU